AUGUUAUUCUUAGGGCAAUUUCUCAGUAAGCCCUUGAUUCUCUCCCAUGUGUCAUAAAGUGAUUCGCCUCCUAGUUGUUCAAAAUUAGUAAUGGUUUUCUUUAACUU